ensembl:snoRNA SNORA2B small nucleolar RNA, H/ACA box 2B
UUGGCCCUGAAUCAAGACCAGCAGUUCGUUGAAGCUGUUGGUUUCAAGCAGGAGCCUAAAAAAAGUCUUCCUAUGGUCUGUUGGCCAUUUCAGAACUUUGGAGAUGUAAUGGUCAAUUCAUUAGCAAGAAACAGCU